CUACCCUCUGACCUACUGUGGAG
rnacentral:piRNA from 1 species